rnacentral:lncRNA from 1 species
CAGUGACCCAUGUGUUUGCUUUUCAAAUAUGAAACCAUCGUGCAGCUGCAUUGCUCCCAGUCCCCUGUUUGGACUGGUCUGUUUCCCACCAUGAAUUGUGUAUGUUGUUUAUAUGUAUAAUCAGAGCUUCCCACACUGUGGUUCAUUCAUGAAACCACAUGAUGAUCCACUGAGUUCUUGCUUGUGGUGCAUGUAGAACAACUCUGGCUUUCCUUGUUUCCAGCUGUUAGUGUAGGUGUGUCACAGCUAACAGGAAAAGCCUGGGGUCCUGUAAAAGCAGCUGAAAACCAAGGAGCAUGGAGAUUUUAACUUCUUCAACCAGGGAUUGCUGCUGCACUGGCACCAAGGCUCAACAACAGGACCUGUUUGCUAGUAAGGUGAUUGCACCUCAUGACAAACUCUUGACAAUCAUACAAGUUUGUAGUCACCAUUGCUCAUCCCCGCUUGACAGUCCUUAUUGCUUUUUCAGAUCCUGCAGUGGGUUGUCCAGCCAUGGUGUAUUUUGAACUGAAGGAACCGGGCAUUUGCCUGGCUGCAUCUGUUUUGCAUGUUGGAGGCCACCAUGAAUUUGACUGCUCCUCCAUAAAGCACUUAGCAGCUUCCUGAGCGGUGG